rnacentral:piRNA from 1 species
UCAAUGGAGAAGUGCCGCUGCAUCUGUGA